CAGUAGCCGCGGGAAUACGAGGGGGGCAAGCGUUGUUCGGAAUUAUUGGGCGUAAAGGGUGCGUAGGCGGUUUGAUAAGUUUGGUGUGAGAUCUCUGGGCUCAACCCAGAGUCUGCAUCGAAAACUGUCGGGCUUGAGUAUGGGAGAGGUGAGUGGAAUUUCCGGUGUAGCGGUGAAAUGCGUAGAUAUCGGAAGGAACACCUGUGGCGAAAGCGGCUCACUGGACCAUAACUGACGCUGAUGCACGAAAGCUAGGGGAGCAAACAGGAUUAAAUACCCGCGUAGUCCCUGUCUCUUAUAC
rnacentral:rRNA from 1 species